UACAGGAGGGUGCGAGCGUUAAUCGGAAUUAGCUGGGCGUAAAGCGCGCGUAGGCGGCUUUGCAAGUCGGGUGUGAAAUCCCCAGGCUUAACCUGGGAACUGCAUUCGAGACUGCAUUGCUAGAGUAUGGGAGAGGGAAGUGGAAUUUCCGGUGUAGCGGUGAAAUGCGUAGAUAUCGGAAGGAACAUCAGUGGCGAAAGCGACUUCCUGGACCAAUACUGACGCUCAUGUGCGAAAGCGUGGGGAGCAAACAGG
rnacentral:rRNA from 1 species